rnacentral:rRNA from 1 species
AGUUGCUUUCUUUCUGAGAGUGGCGGACGGGUGAGUAAUGCUUGGGAAUCUGGCUUAUGGAGGGGGAUAACUACGGGAAACUGUAGCUAAUACCGCGUAGUAUCGGAAGAUGAAAGUGUGGGACCGCAAGGCCACAUGCCAUAAGAUGAGCCCAAGUGGGAUUAGGUAGUUGGUUAGGUAAAGGCUGACCAAGCCGACGAUCUCUAGCUGGUCUGAGAGGAUGACCAGCCACACUGGAACUGAGACACGGUCCAGACUCCUACGGGAGGCAGCAGUGGGGAAUAUUGCACAGUGGGGGGAACCCUGAUGCAGCCAUGCCGCGUGAAUGAAGAAGGCCUUCGGGUUGUAAAGUUCUUUCGGUGAUGAGGAAGGUGCUUGUUUUAAUAGAACAAGCAAUUGACGUUAGUCACAGAAGAAGCACCGGCUAACUCCGUGCCAGCAGCCGCGGUAAUACGGAGGGUGCGAGCGUUAAUCGGAAUAACUGGGCGUAAAGGGCACGCAGGCGGUGACUUAAGUGAGAUGUGAAAGCCCCGAGCUUAACUUGGGAAUUGCAUUUCAUACUGGGUCGCUAGAGUACUUUAGGGAGGGGUAGAAUUCCACGUGUAGCGGUG